AGAGUUUGAUCAUGGCUCAGGACGAACGCUGGCGGCGUGCUUAACACAUGCAAGUCGAGCGAUGAAGCACCUUCGGGUGUGAAUUAGCGGCGAACGGGUGAGGAACACGUGAAGAAUCUGCCUUCAACUCUGGGAUAACUCCGGGAAACCGGGGCUAAUACCGGAUAUGAGCCUUGAUCGCAUGAUCGGGGCUGGAAAGUUUUUCGGUUGAAGAUGACUUCGCGGCCUAUCAGCUUGUUGGUGAGGUAAUGGCUCACCAAGGCGACGACGGGUAGCCGGCCUGAGAGGGCGACCGGCCACACUGGGACUGAGACACGGCCCAGACUCCUACGGGAGGCAGCAGUGGGGAAUAUUGGGCAAUGGAGGAAACUCUGACCCAGCGACGCCGCGUGAAGGAUGAAGGCCUUCGGGUUGUAAACCUCUUUCAGUAGGGAAGAAGCGAAAGUGACGGUACCUACAGAAGAAGCACCGGCUAACUAUGUGCCAGCAGCCGCGGUAAUACAUAGGGUGCAAGCGUUGUCCGGAAUUAUUGGGCGUAAAGAGCUCGUAGGUGGUUCGAUACGUCGGAUGUGAAAAUCAGGGGCUCAACCCCUGACCUGCAUCCGAUACGGUCGAGCUAGAGUUUGGUAGGGGAGACUGGAAUUCCUGGUGUAGCGGUGGAAUGCGCGGAUAUCAAGAGGAACACCGAUGGCGAAGGCAGGUCUCUGGGCCAAUACUGACACUGAGGAGCGAAAGCGUGGGGAGCGAACAGGAUUAGAUACCCUGGUAGUCCACGCCGUAAACGGUGGGCGCUAGUUGUGCGAACCUUCCACGGUUUGUGCGACGCAGCUAACGCAUUA
rnacentral:rRNA from 1 species